GAUGAACGCUAGCGGCAGGCUUAAUACAUGCAAGGCGAGGGGGCAGCAAUGUCACCGUCGUACGGGUGCGUAACGCGUAUGCAACCUACCUAUCACUGGGGGAUAGCCCGGGGAAACCCGGAUUAAUACCGCAUAACACAGGGGUCCCGCAUGGGGAUAUUUGUUAAAGAUUUAUCGGUGGUAGAUGGGCAUGCGUUCGAUUAGCUAGUUGGCAGGGUAACGGCCUACCAAGGCGACGAUCGAGAGGGGAGCUGAGAGGUUGAUCCCCCACACGGGCACGGAGUUACGGGUCCGACUCCUACGGGAGGCAGCAGUAGGGAAUAUUGGGCAAUGGAUGAGAGUCUGACCCCGCCAUGCCGCGUGCCGGAAGAAGGUCCUCAGGAUUGUAAACGGCUUUGAUUCGGGAAGAAGAGCAGGGAUGCGUGCUUGUGUGACGGUACCGAAUGAAUAAGCACCGGCUAACUCCGUGCCAGCCGCCGCGGUAA
rnacentral:rRNA from 1 species